rnacentral:rRNA from 1 species
UGAGGAAUAUUGGACAAUGGGGGAAACCCUGAUCCAGCCAUGCCGCGUGAGUGAUGAAGGCCUUCGGGUUGUAAAACUCUUUUAGAUGUGACGAUGAUGACGGUAACAUCAGAAAAAGCUCCGGCUAACUUCGUGCCAGCAGCCGCGGUAAUACGAAGGGAGCGAGCGUUGUUCGGAAUCACUGGGCUUAAAGCGUGCGUAGGUGGAUUGGCAAGUCAGGAGUGAAAUCCCGGGGCUUAACCCCGGAACUGCUCUUGAGACUGCCUGUCUGGAAUUCGGAAGAGGUUGGUGGAACUCCCAGUGUAGAGGUGAAAUUCGCAGAUAUUGGGAAGAACACCGGUGGCGAAGGCGACCAACUGGUCCGACAUUGACACUGAGGCACGAAAGCGUGGGUAGCAAACAGGAUUAGAUACCCCCGUAGUCC